UAUAAGAGGUCCAGCCUGCCCAGUGACACUGUUCAACGGCCGCGGUAUCCUAACCGUGCGAAGGUAGCGUAAUCACUUGUUCUUUAAAUGAGGACUAGUAUGAAUGGCAUCACGAAGAUUUUACUGUCUCCUUUUCCCAAUCAGUGAAACUAAUCUUCCCGUGAAGAAGCGGGAAUAAACAUAUAAGACGAGAAGACCCUAUGGAGCUUUAAACUAAAUUACAAUUGCCUAGAAUUCUUAAUUUCCCGAAUAUACUAUCUACCCAGGCAUUAUGAUAAUAAGUUUUAGGUUGGGGUGACCGCGGAGAAAAACUCAUCCUCCACAUUGAAUCAGAUUCAUUCUUUAGCUAAAAGCUACAUCUUAAAGCACCAAUAAAUUGACAUUAUUGACCCAAUAUUUUGAUCAACGAACCAAGUUACCCUAGGGAUAACAGCGCAAUCCACUUCAAGAGCCCCUAUCGACAAGUGGGUUUACGACCUCGAUGUUGGAUCAGGGUAUCCUAGUGGUGCAGCCGCUACUAAAGGUUCGUUUGUUCAA
rnacentral:rRNA from 1 species